rfam:Triticum aestivum genome assembly, contig: Triticum_aestivum_CS42_TGACv1_scaffold_062174_1DL
GCACUGAAAGUGAGUGUUCGAGGAAAGCAAACUGGAAAAAUCCAUCUCAAAGUGCUGAUGUUUCCAGUUUGUUUUUCUCCAAUAUCUCAUUUUCGGUAG